rnacentral:rRNA from 1 species
GAUGGACGCUGGCGGCGUGCCUAAUACAUGCAAGUCGAGCGAACAGACGAGGAGCUUGCUCCUCUGACGUUAGCGGCGGACGGGUGAGUAACACGUGGAUAACCUACCUAUAAGACUGGGAUAACUUCGGGAAACCGGAGCUAAUACCGGAUAAUAUAUUGAACCGCAUGGUUCAAUAGUGAAAGACGGUUUUGCUGUCACUUAUAGAUGGAUCCGCGCCGCAUUAGCUAGUUGGUAAGGUAACGGCUUACCAAGGCAACGAUGCGUAGCCGACCUGGGAGGGUGAUCGGCCACACUGGAACUGAGACACGGUCCAGACUCCUACGGGAGGCAGCAGUAGGGAAUCUUCCGCAAUGGGCGAAAGCCUGACGGAGCAACGCCGCGUGAGUGAUGAAGGUCUUCGGAUCGUAAAACUCUGUUAUUAGGGAAGAACAAAUGUGUAAGUAACUAUGCACGUCUUGACGGUACCUAAUCAGAAAGCCACGGCUAACUACGUG